CGCGCAGGCGGUCGUUCAAGUCGAGUGUGAAAGCCCCCGGCUCAACUGGGGAGGGUCAUUCGAUACUGAUCGACUCGAAGGCAGGAGAGGGUAGUGGAAUUCCCGGUGUAGUGGUGAAAUGCGUAGAUAUCGGGAGGAACACCAGUGGCGAAGGCGACUACCUGGCCUGUUCUUGACGCUGAGGCGCGAAAGCCAGGGGAGCAAACG
rnacentral:rRNA from 1 species